rnacentral:rRNA from 1 species
UUGACCUCGGAUCAGGUAGGGAUACCCGCUGAACUUAAGCAUAUCAAUAAGCGGAGGAAAAGAAACCAACAGGGAUUGCCUCAGUAACGGCGAGUGAAGCGGCAAGAGCUCAAAUUUGAAAGCUGGCUCCUUCGGGGUCCGCAUUGUAAUUUGCAGAGGAUACUUCGGGAGCGGUCCCCAUCUAAGUUCCCUGGAACGGGACGUCAUAGAGGGUGAAAAUCCCGUAUGGGAUGGGGUGUCCGCGCCCGUGUGAAGUUCCUUCGACGAGUCGAGUUGUUUGGGAAUGCAGCUCUAAAUGGGUGGUAAAUUUCAUCUAAAGCUAAAUAUUGGCCGGAGACCGAUAGCGCACAAGUAGAGUGAUCGAAAGAUGAAAAGCACUUUGAAAAGAGAGUUAAAAAGCACGUGAAAUUGUUGAAAGGGAAGCGCUUGCGACCAGACUCGGUCGCGGGGUUCAGCCGGCAUUCGUGCCGGUGUACUUCCCCGCGGCCGGGCCAACGUCAGUUUGGAUGGUCGGUUAAAGGCUCUCGGAAGGUAACGCCUCUAGGGGCGUCUUAUAGCCGAGGGUGUAAUGCGACCUAUCCGGACUGAGGAACGCGCUUCGGCUCGGACGUUGGCAUAAUGGUCGUAAGCGACC